GCGGGGAGAGUGCAGGUACUUUGCCUUCAGAAUAAUUUGCAGGACCCAAGCCGGCUUUCGGAGCGCCCUUUCUUUUUCUUCCUUUGCCCCCUCCCUCCGGAAAAGAAGAUCCCACUUUUGAAACAAUCAGAAAUCGAAGCACCCCAGCAAAGCCAAACCCUGACGGGCUGCUGUGCAUGUGCCAUCCCUUUUUGCAGUUUAUUCUGGGCCUGUGUGGAAUAGAAAGACAAUUCUUUAUUUGACUGGUAGGAAAGAAAAGAGAAGACUCCUCAGGGUUUCCAAGGAGGACUGGAGCGGCUGCUUUAGUGAAGAAGUGAAGAAUCAAGGAAGUAAAGGACCU
rnacentral:lncRNA from 1 species